rnacentral:lncRNA from 1 species
GUAGGCUUGAGUGCAGCUGUGAGUGCAAGUUGAGUGUAGGCUUGAGUGGCUGUGCAUGCAGGUGUGUGAGUGUGGGCAUGAGUGCAGGUCCAAGCGAGUGUGAGUCCAAGUUGAGUGUGCUCUCAGGUGUGUGAGUGGGGACUCAGGUGAGUGGGGACUCAUGAGACUCAGGUGACUGGGGGCUCCAGUAAAGGUGUGGAGACUCUGGUGAGUGCGGACUCCAGUGAGUGGAGACUCAGGUGAGUGGGGGCUCCAGUGAGAGUGUGGAGACUCAGGUGAGUGUGUGAGUGGGGACUCCAGUGAGUGGGGACUCUGGUGAGUGGAGACUCAGGUGUGUGAGUGGGGACUCAGGUGAGUGGGGACUCAUGAGACUCAGGUGACUGGGGGCUCCAGUAAGGGUGUGGAGACUCUGGUGAGUGGGGACUCCAGUGAGUGGAGACUCAGGUGAGUGGGGGCUCCAGUGAGGGUGUGGAGACUCAGGUGUGUGUGGGGACUCCA